rnacentral:rRNA from 1 species
AGAGUUUGAUCCUGGCUCAGGACGAACGCUGGCGGCGUGCUUAACACAUGCAAGUCAGGGGGUGGGGCAACCCAUCACCGGCGAACGGGUGCGUAACACGUGAGCGACCUGCCCUGGUGUGGGGGAUAGCCGGCCCAACGGCCGGGUAAUACCGCAUACGGCUCCCGGGUGGUACCGGGAAGCGAAACUCGCAAGAGGCGCUGGGAGGGGCUCGCGGCCUAUCAGCUAGUUGGUGCGGUAACGGCGCACCAAGGCGAUGACGGGUAGCUGGUCUGAGAGGAUGGCCAGCCACAUUGGGACUGAGAAACGGCCCAGACUCCUACGGGAGGCAGCAGUGGGGAAUCUUGCGCAAUGGCCGAAAGNNUGACGCAGCGACGCCGCGUGGGGGAUGAAGGCCUUCGGGUUGUAAACCCCUGUUGCUCGGGACGAACACACCUAUUCGUAGGUGCUGACGGUACCGGGUGAGGAAGCACCGGCUAACUCUGUGCCAGCAGCCGCGGUAAUACAGAGGGUGCGAGCGUUGUCCGGAAUCACUGGGCGUAAAGGGCGCGUAGGCGGUCUGGUAAGCGUGUGGUGAAAGCUCGGGGCUCAACCCCGAGUCGGCCGUGCGAACUGCUGGACUGGAGCAUGUCAGAGGCAGGCGGAAUUCCGGGUGUAGCGGUGGAAUGCAGAGAUCCGGAAGAACACCGGUGGCGAAGGCGGCCUGCUGGGACAUGCUGACGCUGAGGCGCGACAGCGUGGNNAGCAAACAGGAUUAGAUACCCGUAGUCC